AGAAAGUGGUAAUUCAUAAUUAAGUAUACUUAAGUUUAUAUAGUAUCAUCCGUUUGUCCAAAUUUCCUAGUAAUUAUCAAUACAUAUUGUAUUAAAAUUUCAUAUUGUCUCUCUAUUCUCGUUAUAUAAAUAUAAAAAUAGAAGCUGUGGUAUGAUUGCCAAUAAUACAACUGUCCACAAGAGACCAAAAUGACACAGACAUUAACAACUAUAGGUCACCGUACGACAUUCAACAAUGAGCAAAGCCCAUACCGCAUAGUCAGCUAUAAAUGGCCCUGAUAAGACAAUGUAAGGCAAUUCAAACGAGAAAACUAACGGCC
rnacentral:lncRNA from 1 species